CAAAAUAUUUAAACAUAAUAUAUCAAAAUAAUUAUUUACUUACCAAUAUAAUUAAUUUGCUUGCUAAAAAAGCAAAAACUAUUCAACCACAGAAAUGUUGUCAAUGAGUGAUAACUAAUGAAUACAAAAUUAUAACAAUUUCAUGAACCGAAUUUCUGUAAAGACGAGCAACAUAUUAAAUCAAUAGAAAAAAGAUGCAUCAAGUUCCGGGCCCUAAUGAAUAGAUAUAACUGUCAACAGCCACUUGGUUUGAAGGUUUAUGUGCUGCAGUACUUAUUUGUCAGGUUAACAUGUUUACAUUAUUUAUUGCAUAUCUAUCCAUUUAAAUAGAUACAUGAUACAGUUAGUUGUACUUACUUAUUUUACAAUUUUAUUUAUAUCCUAUAGAUAUUAUUUAUAGUAGCAUAUACCCAUUUAACACCGUGGUCCAUGAUAUAACUAAAUAUGAGUUUGAUAUACACUAGGAUCUCAUUUGUCAUGAUGAAGCUGGAAUUUGUUGAAUUAAGAGAGUAUCAAAUUAUUGAGUGUCAUGUAUGUAUGAAUUUUCAAAUAUUAAUGUAAAAAUAAAGUGUCGGAUCAGCAAUGUUCUGUACAAUAUAAGCAGCACUUAGAAAUUAAAAUAGGGUUUAACACUAGUGAUAUGAGUGACGUUUAGAUAAAAGCACAAUUGGAGAAAGUCUAUCUCAUAUACCGUGAUAUAAAUUAAUAAAUAAUCAUUGCCAUCCAAGAAACAUUAUUUAAAACUUGGUUUGUAUAUAUAGUAAUAUAGUAUGUAUGACUUGCAUAGACUUAAUAUGCGGUCAUAACUGAUAUUAUAGUAGCUUUCAGUACACUUAAAAAAAUUUUUUUUUUAAACCAGUGGAAAAUUAAUAUUAUAUGAUUUAGCUCAACUUUCGGACACAACAAAACAGAUGAUAUAGCUGAGAUCCAGGGGAAAAUUUUAAUUUCAAGUAGACUUCAGUAUAAACUCUUAUCUGUUUUCAAAAUUCUUAAUGUUUCACUAGAUUCUGUCAUAUAUUAGAAAUAAAAUACAACAAAAUUGCCUUGUUUAAUACUUGUUAAACAGAGACAAUAAAUUAUUAUACUGUAAACCUCUUCAAAUGUAUGUAAUAUUAACAUAGAUCCUAGAAAACACUUAAGCAUAAUCUCUAUAAUGUAAAGUAAUGUACACAUUUCUUUUUAUGUAUAUACAUAUAAAAAUAAUAUACAUGUAUACAUAGGUAAAACACUAAAACAUGAACAAAAUGAAAUCCUUAAAUUAGUUCACUUUUACACUGAAGGAAACAAUAUUACUUGUGAAUAAAAUAAAUACAUAUCGCCCAAGUAAAUUCAAUAAAAGUCAACAGUUAAGCAAUAAAAAAAUUACUCAUUAAUACUUCUUAAGUUAUGAACAUUAUUGGCAUAAAUUAUAGUUCAGUAAUGUUGAACACAAUAUCUUACAAAACUCUGAAAUUAUUUUACUAUUUAUUUUAUUUAUGCAUCUAUUUAUGAGUAUUGAAUAGUUCAAAAACAAUAAAAUAGGAAACAAAGUAAAAAAUAACAUUAAAUGCAACUUAAAGUAAUAAUAAAAAUGAGUUAUAGUUUUUUAUUUUUAUUUAAUACAUAAACGACAUUUAUUUAUAUAUAAUUAUUUUAAUUUAAAAGUAAGUUUCUGUAUCACCUAAUACUUAACUUUGAAAAAAAAACAUAUAUAUAUUUAUAUUUAUAUGUAUGUAUAUAUAUAUAUAAUAUAUAUAUAAAUAAUAAAAUAUAAAUACACAUAUAUUAUAUGAAGUACGACUUAUUUGAAUUGACAAUACAUACGAGGGCGUGUAUUUUCAAAAUAGUUGGUUUCCAUAAUAAUAAAAGUCAAUGAGAGGAAUUAAUAAUAAUAAUAAUAAUAAAAAAGAGAGAUGGGAGUUUAUCAGUUUUGGCCACUCCACUCCACAAAAUAGAGGAAGGCACGAUUUAUAUGUAUAUAAUUUUUUUUAAUGCUAUAUAAUUACGGCAAAUAAAAAAUAAUACAAAAUCGCAUUUUAUAUAGAGGGGCCAGGAGGGUUAAAGGAUAAGGGAUCCAUUGUUUAGUUUUAAUUUUAGCGAUUACCUGAAACAAAAAUUAUUGUACAUUAUGAUGUAAUACACUAAAAAAAAA